CCCUGGCGUAGGCCUUACCAGGGAGGCUGAGGAGUGUGAUCCCCCUGUAGUUGGAACACCACCCCAGUCUUUCAGUUUGAAUUUUCGUCGAAACUCCAUUUCAAAAUGCUGUGCAGAAAUAUUUAUGAUGCAAUAUGCACGGCUGCGGCGGAAUACUUCUAAUCUGUGGAAGCACCUGCAGUGUUUCACCUACCACUAUUCAAGGGGGGCACCCCGCCCUACCAACCAGACCGCCGUGCCCCCAAGAGGAUCACAGCAUGUAGUAAUAGUUUAACAGUUAAUGUCAUUCGUUUUAUUGGAUCACGUCGUGAAGGAUUUCUGUCCCUGUGUUGUCACUACUCUUCUUUCUAUGGCCAAACAUGGCAAAAGCUGGACGAAAACACACUCAUCAUACUCUGUGUCACCAACGGUGACACUGACACACUGAGUUAGGUGCACUCGAACGGAGGUGAACACAUGCUCCUGACAGCGGACAGAAAGCCAUGCCGCUAAAACCUAGAAAGCACGCAAGGAUAUCUGUGGUUUUAAAAAGCGGCAAAUUUAGUUUUGAUGGCAGCACUUCAUCUCCUGCGAGCUAACUCUCCUACUCUUGGUACAUUUGGCGAAGAUAGAAGUAAACAAAAUAGACCAAGUGAUUCAUGCCCUGACUCUGACACACAGCUAAAGUCCAGUCUCCACCAAAUAAAAGUUUUUUACCUAGUUUCAAACCAUUAAAAUGAAUUUAAUGGUUUGAAACUGAAUUCCUUGGCUUUUAAACUGAAUUUGUUUGCUUUGAAAAUUGCUUUGCUAUGUAUUGAAAAUUCCAUUUGAUAACUUUCAUUUUCUAUUCCAAAAUUCAAUUCCAGUUCCAAAAUUCCGUUUUUUGUGUCACACAUCAAAGUCCUUGAAACCACAGAUUAAUUAAACACAGAAUUACUGAUUCACGGAUGUCAUUCACUAUUGCUGUGUUCAAAUUCAGAUGCGACUUUUAUGGCCAUACAGUGAAGUAAAAACGAAUGCUGUCAGAGAGGUGCUGAUUAUAUUGGUUCAGACACUUUUGGUUUGUUUUACAAGCCCUGCUACUGCAACACAUUGAGGGGCAGAGAAGAAAGAGUGCUUGGAGACCAGCUGCUUUACACCAGCUCUCGCCUCCGUAGUGGGAUCCUAUUCACGUGAUAGAAGAUACACUCUGCCUAGGGAUUUUGUCUUUAACUGUCUCUUUCAAGGAUAAUGCCAGUGAGCUAUUGCUGCAGGUAUUUACUCUUAAUUUUCUUAUCCCAUUGAUACUACUACUGGCUCAGUGCUUUCUUGUUUUAUUGUGUUUCUUAGAUGGAACUACUAAUGGUAUUAGUGAUGUCACUAACGGUGUGUGCUGUAUUCUUUCCCAAAUAAACUACUCCUGGACUGGUG